AGUAUGCCCUGUGGGCCCUGAACGCACCACACAAGUGCCUGACUUUAAUUGGUUGUAGCGCUGCCUGCAUAUAAAGGGCCCUCCCUCACCUGGUAGACAACACGUUCUCCUUCCGGUUCAGACUUCACUGUUGACUGGCGCUAUACGACUGACGCGCUUAAGACAUUAAUUGCUGUUCAAGCCUUCUUCGGGUAAGAAGCUUCUCAUACCUUUAAUAUCUGUAAGUUUAGCUUUAGCUCAGCUUUACUUGUAAUAUCUAGGUGACUUGUACCAGCUGACUGCUUCUUCUCCCUGCCAGAGGCAUAACGCAUCAAGCUCAGUGGAACGGCCAGCUCGUGGUGUCGGUGGUGGACUUUCUGGGUGGUGGUAUUUUCUUUGGUUUGGUGCACGAUUUUCUUUUAUUUGGUUUGCUGUGUUUCCUUUGUAGGUCCCUGCCAGCUUCGAGUUGAGCCGUAAAUGUCAUUUUAAUGUUAAUGGAGGAAGAACUACUGGAAUUGAAGACCCUGAUUGCUCAAUUAAAGGCUGACAAUGAGAAGCUGCGUGCAGAGCGUUCGCCUUCCACAGCUAGCUCCAGUGCUGGGCCAUCUUCAGCUUCUGCACUCCCUGCUGCCCAAGUAACAGACAGGUGACUUGUACCAGCUGACUGCUUCUUCUCCCUGCCAGAGGCAUAACGCAUCAAGCUCAGUGGUAAGCGAAAGCUCAUUUUACGUAUGCUUCC